CAUAGAAAACAAGCGAACAGAAAUAUCAAUAAAAUUUGAAAAUUAUCAAAAUGUGCAAGUGCUUGCCUGUAGUUCUAAGUAUCAUGUGUUUGCUAAAGUAGAGUUUGAGGAGGAAACAAUAUAUUAUAUGUGGCAUGAAGAUAAUCUAGUAAAUAGUUGGGAUGACAUGAUUCAGAGGGAAAUCACUAGAACCAUACAAGAUAAAGAACUAGAUGAUUGGGAUGAUAUAAUCCAGGAAGAAAUGACGAGCAGCAUGGAAGAUGCAGCACUAGAUGGUUUGGAUGACCUAUCCCAGAAUGAAAUCAUGCUAAACAUAGAAGAAGAGUAUUCACCUUUCUCAUUAGCUGACGUCCUGGUGAAUUGUGCAAAACUUAUCUUGUCACAAGAAUAAACUUCAUGUUUCAAUGUAAAAAUUCUCGGGAGGGCAGAGACGGGCUUGGGCAAUAACUUGCCUCAACUUAAAAUUUUUGAAAAUUGUCCUCGGAUCACCAACAUGCAACCAACUUUUAAGGCGUUAACGAUCGAUACACCUACCCUCCCCCCCCGCUCCUCCCAAUAAAAAAUAUGCUUCAUGGUACCUGCAUCAUACGUAAAUUCAAUUUCAAGAACGCAUGUGCCAGUGAAAAAUAUUCAAUAUCAACCAUAUAAAUCUGAGAUAAUUUAAUUAAAAAAGAAAAUUGAAUAAGAAUGUUAAAUAACAGUGGAAAAAUUAUGAAGAAACAACAUAAGUUUAUUUAAAAAAAAUUAUUUUAUGCCAAACUCAAGCUCGUAUAACAUGUGAACUAGUGAGAGUUUUUAAUGAAAAUAAUACUCAGCAUUGUUAGUCUAUGUA